AGUGAACGCUGGCGGUAGGCCUAACACAUGCAAGUCGAACGGCAGCACAGUAAGAGCUUGCUCUUACGGGUGGCGAGUGGCGGACGGGUGAGGAAUACAUCGGAAUCUACUUUUUCGUGGGGGAUAACGUAGGGAAACUUACGCUAAUACCGCAUACGACCUACGGGUGAAAGCAGGGGAUCUUCGGACCUUGCGCGAUUGACUGAGCCGAUGUCGGAUUAGCUAGUUGGCGGGGGAAAGGCCCACCAAGGCGACGAUCCGUAGCGGGUCUGAGAGGAUGAUCGGCCACACUGGAACUGAGACACGGUCCAGACUCCUACGGGAGGCAGCAGUGGGGAAUAUUGGACAAUGGGCGCAAGCCGGAUCCAGCCAUACCGCGUGGGUGAAGAAGGCCUUCGGGUUGUAAAGCCCUUUUGUUGGGAAAGAAAAGCAGCAGGUUAAUACCCCGCUGUUCUGACGGUACCCAAAGAAUAAGCACCGGCUAACUUCGUG
rnacentral:rRNA from 1 species